AGAGUUUGAUCAUGGCUCAGGACGAACGCUGGCGGCGUGCUUAACACAUGCAAGUCGAGCGGUAAGGCCCUUCGGGGUACACGAGCGGCGAACGGGUGAGUAACACGUGGGUAACCUGCCCUGUACUCUGGGAUAAGCCUUGGAAACGAGGUCUAAUACCGGAUACGACCUUCUGCCGCAUGGUGGAGGGUGGAAAGUUCCGGCGGUAUGGGAUGGACCCGCGGCCUAUCAGCUUGUUGGUGGGGUAAUGGCCUACCAAGGCGACGACGGGUAGCCGGCCUGAGAGGGUGAUUGGCCACACUGGGACUGAGACACGGCCCAGACUCCUACGGGAGGCAGCAGUGGGGAAUAUUGCACAAUGGGCGAAAGCCUGAUGCAGCGACGCCGCGUGAGGGAUGACGGCCUUCGGGUUGUAAACCUCUUUCAGCAGGGACGAAGCGCAAGUGACGGUACCUGCAGAAGAAGCACCGGCUAACUACGUGCCAGCAGCCGCGGUAAUACGUAGGGUGCGAGCGUUGUCCGGAAUUAUUGGGCGUAAAGAGCUCGUAGGCGGUUUGUCGCGUCGGCCGUGAAAACUUGGGGCUUAACCCCAAGCCUGCGGUCGAUACGGGCAGACUUGAGUUCGGCAGGGGAGACUGGAAUUCCUGGUGUAGCGGUGAAAUGCGCAGAUAUCAGGAGGAACACCGGUGGCGAAGGCGGGUCUCUGGGCCGACACUGACGCUGAGGAGCGAAAGCGUGGGGAGCGAACAGGAUUAGAUACCCUAGUAGUCC
rnacentral:rRNA from 1 species